rnacentral:rRNA from 1 species
GAUGAACGCUGGCGGCGUGCUUAACACAUGCAAGUCGAACGGAAAGGCCACAGCUUGCUGUGGUGCUCGAGUGGCGAACGGGUGAGUAACACGUGGGUGAUCUGCCCUGUACUUCGGGAUAAGCUUGGGAAACUGGGUCUAAUACCGGAUAGGAAUCACAUGUGGGUGUGUGGUUGGAAAGCUUUUGCGGUAUGGGAUGAGCUCGCGGCCUAUCAGCUUGUUGGUGGGGUAAUGGCCUACCAAGGCGUCGACGGGUAGCCGGCCUGGGAGGGUGUACGGCCACAUUGGGACUGAGAUACGGCCCAGACUCCUACGGGAGGCAGCAGUGGGGAAUAUUGCACAAUGGGCGCAAGCGUGAUGCAGCGACGCCGCGUGGGGGAUGACGGCCUUCGGGUUGUAAACUCCUUUCGUCAGGGACGAAGCGAAAGUGACGGUACCUGGAGAAGAAGCACCGGCUAACUACGUG